GACGAACGCUGGCGGCGUGCUUAACACAUGCGAGUCGAACGGAAAGGCCCUGCUUUUGUGGGGUGCUCGAGUGGCGAACGGGUGAGUAACACGUGAGUAACCUGCCCUUGACUUUGGGAUAACUUCAGGAAACUGGGGCUAAUACCGGAUAGGAGCUCCUGCUGCAUGGUGGGGGUUGGAAAGUUUCGGCGGUUGGGGAUGGACUCGCGGCUUAUCAGCUUGUUGGUGGGGUAGUGGCUUACCAAGGCUUUGACGGGUAGCCGGCCUGAGAGGGUGACCGGCCACAUUGGGACCGAGAUACGGCCCAGACUCCUAUGGGAGGCAGCAGUGGGGAAUAUUGCACAACGGGCGGAAGCCUGAUGCAGCAACGCCGCGUGCGGGAUGACGGCCUUCGGGUUGUAAACCGCUUUCGCCUGUGACGAAGCGUGAGUGACGGUAAUGGGUAAAGAAGCACCGGCUAACUACGUG
rnacentral:rRNA from 1 species